GGGGUUGUGGCUCAGUGGUAGAGCGCUUGCCUAGCAUGCAUGAGGCACUGGUUUCAAUCCUUAGCACCA
rfam:Ictidomys tridecemlineatus contig013084, whole genome shotgun sequence.